rnacentral:rRNA from 1 species
GACGAACGCUGGCGGCGUGCUUAACACAUGCAAGUCGAACGGAACGGCCCUGCUUUUGUGGGGUGCUGUGGUUACGAACGGGUGAGUAACACGUGAGUUCCCUGUCCCUCACUUUGGGAUAACCUCAGGACACUGGGGCUCAUCGCGGAUAGGAGCUACUGCUGCAUGGUGGGGGUUGGUAGGUUUCGGCGGUUGGGGAUGGACUCGCGGCUUAUGAGCUUGGUGGUUGGGUAGUGGCUUACCAAGGCUUUGACAGGUGGCCGACCUGCGAGGCUGACCGGCCACGUUGGGACUGGGCUACGGCACGGACUACUAUGGGAGGCAGGAGAGGAGAAGAUUGCACAAUGGGCGGAAGCCUGAUGCAGUACAGCCGCGUGCGGGAUGACGGCCUGCGGGUUGUAAUCCGAUUUCGCCUGUGACGAAGCGUGAGUGACGGUAAUGGGUAAAGAAGCACCGGCUAACUACGUG